AGGUUAAGUUAUGAAGGGCGCACGGUGGAUGCCUUGGCACUAGGAGCCGAUGAAGGACGGUACUAACACCGAUAUGCUUCGGGGAGCUGUAAGUAAGCAUUGAUCCGAAGAUUUCCGAAUGGGGAAACCCACUGCU
rnacentral:rRNA from 1 species